GAGCUAAUCAGCUGAUUAUGUUUCCAAUCCUUUCAUUCAACUUAGACCUUACACAUAGUUUAAUUACUCAUAUAUUAUAUUUCUUUUACCACACACACAAGAGUUGACGCUGCAUAACUUUGAAUAUUAACACAACAACUAAAAAACUUGAAACACUCAAAGGACGUAUAACAGCAAAAUAAGUAAUAAGUGAUUACAUGCAGGAUUAGGAUACAUUGCCAAAGGAUCAUGGUUGCCCUAUUAAGAUUAAGCCUAUGACCUAACUUGUAGGACUAAUUAAAGGGGCACCUUUCUGUUUUUCGCUUCCCUGCCCAUCAUCAUCAUUGAUGCAAACACCUUCUCCUCUGAACUUGAGACUCAUUUUGAGGAUGAUAGAAGCUGAAAAUUAUAUGGUAUAUGGUAAGGCCUUAACAGUAAUGUGUGCUCAUCAAGUCUCAAUUGUGAAGCCCAAGAGAGGG
rnacentral:lncRNA from 1 species